rnacentral:other from 1 species
AAAGUCCUGCGAUGCGCGUCAGUCUCAUUUGGUUUCGAACCGUACCAUGACAUGAGGGAAUCCUACAUCAGGCUGUGGAUGGCAAGCCUGCUCGACAGGACGUCAGAAGCAGCCUUGCGGAUACCCACCUGCGAGAGCGGGUUCGUGAAACAACUGAGACGACGGCAUGGUGGGAAUGCG